CUGACUGAAGAGGAAAGAGUUAUACUGCCAAGACAUAAAAAAUUAGAUUUACUGAAACAAGUUUUAGUUAAAGAAGAUUCAUGUACAUUAUGUUUUGAUAAACAAGCUAACAUGGAGCUUAAACCAUGUGGUCAUAGUUUUUCAGGAAAGUCCAUGUUGGUGGCUUUAUGUACCAGUUGUUCUAACUGUUCUGUUUCAUUUAUGACAUUUACUUCACAGCGAUUUACUCUAAUUGUGUUGUUCUGAACUUGGUUAGCUGCCGAUUCUCUUAUUACGUUCCAUACAGACCAUCCUAGCUUUGUUCUGGAUGCGGGAGGACCACAAGAAGGACCCCUAAUGACUUCCAAUGGAGUAUAAGCGCCAGGAAAGUCCAUGUUGAUGGCUUUAUGUACCAGUUGUUCUAACUGUUCUGUUUCAUUUAUGACAUUUACUUCACGGCGAUUUACUCUAAAUGUGUUGUUCUGAACUUGGUUAACUGCCUAUUCUCUUAUUACGUUCCAUACAGACCAUCCUGGUUUUGUUCUGGAUUCGUGAGGACUACAAGAAGGACCCCUAAUGACUUCCAAUGGAGUAUAAGCGCCAGAGGAUUUUGUGAUGUGUGUUCACUACAAUUAGAGAUUUGUCCUAUAUGUCGUAUGUUAAUCGUGGAGAGAAGAGAAAUUAGUGUAACAACUAGCAGCCCAGAAAAUUCACCAAGUCCAGAACCAGAUAGUUUUGACAGA